CUGUGGAGGAGGGGGAGGAGGAGGUGUGGGAAGAGAAGGGAAAGAGGAGGAGGAGGUGUAGGGAGAAGAGGAGGAGGAGGAAGAGGCGGAGGAGGGCUGGCACGCCGGCAGCACGCAGGGGUUGGCCCCCGAUGCACUCCAACACUGCACUGCUGCUGGAAGCCUCCCAGAAUGCAGCUCCGAAGCCUCUCCCAUCGAUUCCCAGCCCAUCUGCCCUCAGGUGCCUGUUUACCUUCUCUCCUUCCACGCUGCCCAUCCUCAGGGGAAGAUAUCGGGGCUGAAGCCGCAGGGCUGAGAGCACCGCGCUGGAGGGGAACGCUGCAGAGUGCUGAAGGCAGAGCGGGUUCUGUGCCUCCCACAGCACAGAUGGAGGCUGCAGGGCUGCAGGCAGCGCCGGAGCGUGCGGAGAAGAGGAAAGGAAGGGAGCGAAUGCGAGCGGGACGUGUG
ensembl:lncRNA